GAUGAACGCUGGCGGCGUGCUUAACACAUGCAAGUCGAACGAAGCACUCUAUUUGAUUUCUUCGGAAUGAUUAUUUUGUGACUGAGUGGCGGACGGGUGAGUAACGCGUGGGUAACCUGCCUCAUACAGGGGGAUAACAGUUGGAAACGACUGCUAAUACCGCAUAAGCGCACAGUGCUGCAUGGCACAGUGUGAAAAACUCCGGUGGUAUGAGAUGGACCCGCGUCUGAUUAGCCAGUUGGUGGGGUAACGGCCUACCAAAGCGACGAUCAGUAGCCGACCUGAGAGGGUGACCGGCACAUUGGGACUGAGACACGGGCCCAAACUCCUACGGAGGCAGCAGUGGGGAAUAUU
rnacentral:rRNA from 1 species